UUUUUUUUUUUCCAGUGGACGACUUUUAUACCAGUAAUUUUACUCCAAUUUAAAAUGUGAGCAAUGUAUAUACAAGGAAAUUUGAUUAGGGAGAUACUUUAAAGAUGACAUUUUUCGAUUUUCUCACGAGUUUUCUAAACAAGUGUGAAAAACCAGGAGAAAACUUGAGAAAACUAGGAUAAACGUAGGAUAAUCGGUACAUUAAACUAAUAUUAUUAACGUUAAUAAACAAUGUCUUUUUUAUUAUUGUACCAUAAAAUGACAUAUUUUUUGUUGACAAAGAAUCACUAUCAAC